GUUGGAAUAUACAUCGUGAAAGAAAGCGGACGUUCAAAAGAGUUUAUGGAAAGUACCUUGCAAUAAAGCUCAUUGUAAUACCAAGAGCCGUGUUACCCAGAUAUUAUGUUUUGCAUAAAUAGGCGUUACAACAAAGUACUUAAAAAUCGUGAAAGAGAACAGAUCCCCAACAGACCAUCAAUACAUUUACCCCUCUAUCUGAAUUUACAUAGAUUUGCGUUAUAAAAUAAUGAAAUAGUCAAUAUACUGUUUAAGCAUGUUUUGAGGGAAAUGUUUCUUCUCACUUCACGCAUGCAUGCUUAGGGUUGUAAUACAAAUCCUGCUACAAUUCUUUUUGUUUUCUUUUUUUUAAAUACCAAGUUAUAUAAUUUGCAUAUCAUGCGUCACAAAAUGAUAAACAAAUGAUGAAACACUACUGCCAAUUCGAAAUAGCACCAGGGAAUGUAUCCGGACCGGUCCCCAAGCAUUUUAGCCCCCUUAAUAAACAACACCACCUGGCACCAUUGAAAUAUUUUGGAAACCUCACUCCUACACAUACUUAACCCCUUUAUUCCACAAGUGGCAAAGCUUAGAAAAGGGAACUGAAACCAACAGCCCUUGGCGCGACAAUCUUAUUAAAAUAUUAUUAUUGCUUUGGUUAGAACAAUUAAUGAACAACCUCUAGCAAAAAAAAAAAAAAAAAAAAAAA